rnacentral:rRNA from 1 species
UAAGCAUAUCAAUAAGCGGAGGAAAAGAAACCAACAGGGAUUGCCUCAGUAACGGCGAGUGAAGCGGCAACAGCUCAAAUUUGAAAGCUGGCUCCUUCGGGGCCCGCGUUGUAAUUUGUAGAGGAUGUUUCGGGCGCGGCGCCGGUCUAAGUUCUUUGGAACAAGACGUCAUAGAGGGUGAGAAUCCCGUAUGUGACUGGUUGCCUGUGCCCAUGUGAAACUCCUUCGACGAGUCGAGUAGUUUGGGAAUGCUGCUCAAAAUGGGAGGUGUAUUUCUUCUAAAGCUAAAUAUUGGCCAGAGACCGAUAGCGCACAAGUAGAGUGAUCGAAAGAUGAAAAGCACUUUGGAAAGAGAGUUAAACAGUACGUGAAAUUGUUGAAAGGGAAGCGCUUGCAAUCAGACUUGCGCGGCGUCGAUCAGCCUGGGUUCUCCCUGGUGUACUCGGCGCCGCUCAGGCCAGCAUCAGUUUCGGCGGUGGGAUAAAGGCUCAGGGAACGUGAGUUGCUUCGGUGACUGUUAUAGCCCUGGGUGCAAUGCCGCCUGCCGGGACUGAGGACCGCGCUUCGGCUAGGA